rnacentral:rRNA from 1 species
AUUGAACGCUGGCGGCAUGCUUUACACAUGCAAGUCGAACGGCAGCGCGGGCUUCGGCCUGGCGGCGAGUGGCGAACGGGUGAGUAAUUCAUCGGAACGUGCCCAGUCUUGGGGGAUAGCCCGGCGAAAGCCGGCUUAAUACCGCAUACGACCUGAGGGUGAAAGCGGGGGACCGAAAGGCCUCGCGCUAUUUGCGCGGCCGAUGUCGGAUUAGCUAGUUGGUGGGGUAAAGGCUUACCAAGGCGACGAUCCGUAGCUGGUCUGAGAGGACGACCAGCCACACUGGGACUGAGACACGGCCCAGACUCCUACGGGAGGCAGCAGUGGGGAAUUUUGGACAAUGGGGGCAACCCUGAUCCAGCCAUGCCGCGUGCGGGAAGAAGGCCUUCGGGUUGUAAAACGCUUUUGUUAGGGAAGAAAUACUCUGGGCUAAUACCCCGGGGGGAUGACGGUACCGGAAGAAUAAGCACCGGCUAACUACGUG